rnacentral:tRNA from 1 species
CGGGAGCUGGCCUAAUUGGGUAAGGCGCUUGGUUUGGGACCAAGAGAUUGGCGGUUCAAAUCCGCCGCUCCCGA